GACUGCAAGUGGUCAGUACACCCAGGAAGGAUUCAUCACCUGCUGGAGGAAAUUGUGUCCACUGGCACAAGGAAUUGGAUACGGAUAUUUCAUGAUGAAACUUUAUGACUUUAGCUACAUUAUAAUCCAAGUCUGGGCCCUCUUCUAUCUGGUGUUCUCGUUCAGAUCCCAGCUCCCCUGGGCCAGCUGUGACAACACCUGGAAUACAGCUAACUGUCUUGGUCUUCAGAGUUUAAACUCAUCAGAUCUGACUAAAAAUCAGACCAUCACCACUUCUGCUGCAACUGAGUUCUGGGAGUAAGUUUAAGUAAUAUGGAAUUUUAUUUGCUCUGUCAAUCUUUCACUUUUUAUGCAGGACAAUGAGUCCACACUCUGUUUUCUCUACAUCACUGGAAAAAAAUGUUGGUAUAAAGAUGUGUUUGGCUUAUCCCAGAACAUCAUCAAAUAUUUAGAAAUAGUAAAAAGCACAAGAUGUGGAAGAAGUACAAAUACAA